rnacentral:rRNA from 1 species
GCAAGUCGAACGCGAAAUUUUUUCUUCGGAAGAAAGAGUAGAGUGGCGCACGGGUGAGUAACGCGUAAGUAAUCUACCCUGGCAUCUGGGAUAACUCAGCGAAAGCUGUGCUAAUACCGGAUACGUUGAUUUAUCAAGAAAGGUGGCCUCUGAUUUAAGCUACUGUGCUGGGAGGAGCUUGCGUACCAUUAGCUAGUUGGUAGGGUAAAGGCCUACCAAGGCGACGAUGGUUAGCGGGUCUGAGAGGAUGAUC